CAGUGUAUGGUGGGUAGUUUGACUGGGGCGGUCUCCUCCUAAAGAGUAACGGAGGAGUACGAAGGUGCGCUCAGACCGGUCGGAAAUCGGUCGUAGAGUAUAAAGGCAAAAGCGCGCUUGACUGCGAGACAGACACGUCGAGCAGGUACGAAAGUAGGUCUUAGUGAUCCGGUGGUUCUGUAUGGAAGGGCCAUCGCUCAGCGGAUAAAAGGUACUCCGGGGAUAACAGGCUGAUACCGCCCAAGAGUUCAUAUCGACGGCGGUGUUUGGCACCUCGAUGUCGGCUCAUCACAUCCUGGGGCUGAAGCCGGUCCCAAGGGUAUGGCUGUUCGCCAUUUAAAGUGGUACGCGAGCUGGGUUUAGAACGUCGUGAGACAGUUCGGUCCCUAUCUGCCGUGGACGUUUGAGAUUUGAGAGGGGCUGCUCCUAGUACGAGAGGACCGGAGUGGACGAACCUCUGGUGUUCCGGUUGUCACGCCAGUGGCAUUGCCGGGUAGCUAUGUUCGGAAAAGAUAACCGCUGAAAGCAUCUAAGCGGGAAACUUGCCUCAAGAUGAGAUCUCACUGGAACCUUGAGUUCCCUAAAGGGCCGUCGAAGACUACGACGUUGAUAGGUUGGGUGUGUAAGCGCUGUGAGGCGUUGAGCUAACCAAUACUAAUUGCCCGUGAGGCUUGACCAUAUAACACCCAAGCAAUU
rnacentral:rRNA from 1 species